UCUGACAAGGCUUCGUCUCCCUGUUUGGGAACUGACCUAGCUCUCCGUUCUACCGGGAGAUCUCAGCAGCCAACCUGGAGAAAAAUGCUCCUGCAGCGAAGCUCCCAGUGUGAUGACUUAUGCCGCUGACGUGAAGAUGCCGCCUCAGUGUUCGAGGAGCGGGAGUCACCGGGCUGAGACGUGCCGCUACCGUGGACACCGUGGCUCAUACGAAGGCAUGUGUGACUGAGAUCCCACCCCAGACAUUACCAAGUAGGUACCAGGCCUGUCGGGAGAGCACGCGCUCUAUCCUCCCUUUUCUUCCCGAGCACAGGGCAAGCGAUCCUUCCUCCCGACAGAAGCCCUGACCGUGCUGGGGACGCGGGGCACCGGCGCCACAAGGGGGGUAGGAACGUACCGGCACCACCAGCUGGGAUAAUGGUGGUCUGGUUUCCAAAAGUCUGAAGAGCAACCUGCUUGACCAUUCCUGAAUGGGAGCGUGACACAACGAUCCUCGGGGUCCUCUCGUUGUAGGAAGUGCGGGCUUUCACGUUGGACCCACCAUCUACCAUGGCCCAAGCUGAAAAGCAAAUAUAAUAGCCAUUAACAGCACGGAAGCUUUUUGAAACUAAAACUCAACGUACAAAGGGUUGACUGGAAAAAUAUCCUUUUACACAGAAUUGCUUGUAUUUUUUUUCCAAAACGGAAAUAUUUUUUUUCUGAGAACCAGAGUAAUAUUUAGUAUUUUUUUUACACUAAUAGGCAAAUACGAAGACCAAGUUAAAAAAGGCCGCGUGAUCCUGCCCAACCGGAGACAGUGGCUACUUAAGACUUGACUUAACGACGCCCAGGUUCCAGAGCUCCUUGUGAGCUGCUGAGUGCUCACUGGGAUUGCACCCCAAUCUCCCUGUGGCUCGGCCAGCGUCUUCCCCUCCGCUACACAAAUAACUCUUCAGGAAACAUCCUGCGUGCUCAUCUCCACGUCAAAAGUCUGGCUCCUGGGGAACCCUACCUGUGACCACCUAGGACAUAAGCAGCAAAACUAGUUACCCUGGAUAAUUAACAACUUAAGACAGGUUUUGCUCCUAUACUACCUCUAUUUCUGAUACGUUCGUAGUUUCAAUUAUUCGCAUAUCGGACCCAUCUCCUAAGGGAGCUUUAUAAACAUAAGGCAGCUCAAGGGGGGAGUCAGCGUUACGUAUCUGCUUUGUCGGAGAGCGUAAAAAAAUGCUCUAGAUUUCGAAAUAGAACAGGAAUUGUAAGAAGGUGAGGAGACCCUCGAGAUGGCUUGAAAUGUUUUUCUCGGCUUGCAAGUUUUCCUCAGUGACUACCAAGCUACACAAGAGAACGGACUUACUCAGAAUCAUCCCCAUUAGCUUGGUGCUCUAGCAGUCACUCACCACGGGGAAAAACAGUCCGCAUGGCUACAUGCCGUCCGGACGACAGCAGCUGCAUUACCACUUACUCCCGGCUGCAGGAAAACAUCAAAAAAGUGAGCGGAGUCGGGGUUUCUGAGUUCCCCGAAGAUGAUGGCAGGCUCUUGGACUCCCGUCACACUUCUUUCUAAAAACCACACACAGCGACAAGGAGGGCAAAUACGCACACCCUUCAUCAACAGCUAAGGAAUCGGUAGAAGACGGAGACUGGUCACAAACGCAAACUUCAGAGAAAGAAGAGAAGUAAACACUGAAGGUCAGCAGAAUGAGUGCCGCGGCUGAUCCCAGGGUGGGGACUGUGGCAGGAGCUCCGGACAUGCCAAGAGGUUGGAGGACUCUCGGUGGUGGGAGAAGUCAGAGAACAGCGGCCGGGAUUUCUCCCCAGAGGGAAAAGGUCCCAUCUGAGAUGAGAACUCCUGAAAGCGGGCCUGAAAUGUGGCAAGAGAGCAGCGACAAGAGGAGGCCAGGAGAAGACACAGAGCCCAAGUGAAGUCCUGAGGGCACACAACACCUAUCGGGACAUGUCUCCAUGAGUGUCUCCACGAGAGACAAAGACGGGAGACUGCCAACAGAACUAAAGAAAAGGAGUUGGAGAUAAGGGCCCUCCUGAAAUAAGAAAGCAGAAGGGUGGAAACAAAACAAGAUGCCUGCUAACAAAGAUAAUGUCUUCCUCACCCUAGAAAGAAAGCUCCUGGGCUGAGAACCACCCAAACACCUUCCCACAACUCCGCAACGGCCAUGCGGCGGCCCAAAUGGGAAUGAGAAAUGUGGACUACUGCAAAGUCCGCUGAAACCAGAAGAAGAAAACACAACGAAUGAAGGUCGAAAUGUUCCAGGCUACUUGAAAAUGCUCAUAGAUCACGCAGAAUAAAACGGUACCACAAUAUUCUAGAGAACAAGAAAGAAAAAAAAGAGAAAGAAAGAAAGAAAGAAAGAAAGAAACAAGAAAAAAAAAAAACCCAAAAGAACACCAUGGAACAAAGAAACAACAACUGAGGACAGGUAGAGAAGUAGGAACAUAGUGAAAGGAAAUGGGCCCUCGCGUAACGCGGGGAAGAAAUUGAAAACAACAACAACAACAGAAACACAAGACGGCUGAAGACUUAGCCCUGGAUGGUGGGAUAUACGGAAGGGCGACAGCGUGGCCCAAAAUCAGAGCAGGCAAGGAGGACGGCAAAGGAUAAGCGAAAACGAGAAAACUGAUUAAAGGGACCAGAGAGAAAGCGACACACAGACGUCAGCGGAAGAAGAGUCAGUAUAUACAUAUUAGCAGGUCUCUGAAAAAAGGGAACCAGGAGCCAUGAGAUAGAACCCGUUGUAAAAUUACGGUCCAAAAGAUCGUGCCUGAAAGAAAAGAGGACCGAAAUGUCCACACGGAGAGACACACUGUGUAGACAUCUGCCCAGAAAGCCAACUCUGUAUCUGACAUCUAGAGUUCUAUUAUUAGACUUUCAAGAUAAAGUUCCUUGGCACUCCAGGCAAAAAUACCAAGCUCCUUACAAAGGAAAAAAAAUCAGAUUAUCGGCUUCGCUGCCAACGGGAUUCAGCAUGCACCCACACGGAUAUUAAUCAGUUCAAUAUUUUCUACCAGUAACGAAGAGAAAAGAGUGCAGCGGGGGCAAGACAGUGUCCUACUAAAAUUCAUGCCUGCUACGAACCUUUGGAAUGUGACCUCAUUUGGAUACAGGGUCUUUGCAGAUGUAAUUCAAGUCAAGGUCACAUUGGAUUAGAGUAGGCCCUAAAUUCAAUGACUGGUGUCCUUACAAAAACAGGACACACAAAACACAGACUGAGAGAAUGGGAAGGAGGAGGCAUGGAGUGAUGGGUCUACAAACCAGGGCACCAAGGGAUGUCUCACGCCACCAGAAGCUAGAAGAGGCAAGGGAAGUCUUCAAGAGGGAGCACGGCACUGCUAACAACUUGGUAUCAGACUUCUGGCCCCAAAACUGCGAGAAAAUAAAUUUCUGUUGUUGUAAGCCCUCAAGUUUAUGGAAAUUUGCUAGAGCACCCAAGGAUAGAGGGCUAAACCAAAGAGUUUGGAAGUAGCUGAGUCUUUCAUGUAUCAAGGCUACAGGAAGAGCUUUUAACACGUUAAGAACUCAGAUAAUAGGAAGGACAGCUAUGUGCUAGCUCUUCUGAAGUAAUCCAUUAGAGGAUGAGCUUUAGCCAACUGAAGGAGGACUGAAGAACACUCAGCAAAAGCACUGUUGGUCAGCACUGAAUAAAUUUAACUGGGGAUUUAAGAGGAAACCAAAGACAGGAAUAAAGGUUUCGGAAGAAUCAAAGCGUGUAAAUGAUUUGUGUGUAAGAAUCAAAGUGUGUAAACCAAUCACAGUUGAUUGGUUAGAGUCAAAAGAUACCAUGUAAAUCUAAAGAGCUGAAGAGCAGAAAGAUACAGGUCGAAAAAGCGACGACUGACUAAAAUGGGAUGGUGGUCAAGGAGGCUAAAGGAAGCUCAUUUCUUUGUUGCUCAUAGGGGAGACCCAACGGACGAUACCUAAGGAUUACAUAAUGAAUGGCAUUUAAACAAAAAAGUUGUAUACAAAGGUAUUUUAAUAAAGAGUAGGCAACAAAAAGAACAAAUUUAACUUAAAAAUAAUAACUAGGUUGAAUCACACUGAAUACAUAAAAAUCCAUGAGAUGUCAAGGAUAUUAAAAAAA